rnacentral:misc_RNA from 1 species
UAUCUGUACACACGUAUAUUCUAUCUUAUCGAGAUUUUAUAUCCAGUUAGUUGAUAAUACAUUUGUUUAAUGUAUCACGAUCUUAUUUUAUUACUGUGAUGAUUUGUUCAUUUAGACGUUAGUUUUAAAGAGAAUUGAUUGUAGCCAUCAAUGAAGAUAGUACUGUAAAAUAAUCAAGAGCUCAAAGUGAUACUAUAAAAUUGAAUAAUCAACUACUCGAGAAAGUUAUAACUGUUUCCUCGCUCCUUUAUUGCAACACAUGUAUCAAUUAAAAGAACAUGAACUUCAUUUCAAACAGAACAUAUCCAUUUUACAGCUUAGGCACUUACUACGUAAACUCCCGAGACAUUGUGUAUACACGCAACAAUCCCCAAAUUACAAAAGUCCACAGUGGAAUUCACGCGUGGCAAACAUCUAUCACAUUCUCGCCUUUGAGACCAAUUUCCCGGAGAAUUUCUGUGCAAAUAAAUUACCUAGAUUCGUUCAUUGACCUAGAUACGCUAAAAAAAAAAAAAAAAA